rnacentral:rRNA from 1 species
CUACGGGUUGCUCCAGUGAGGAAUAUUGCACAAUGGGGGAAACCCUGAUGCAGCAACGCCGCGUGGAGGAUGACGCAUUUCGGUGUGUAAACUCCUUUUAUGAGUCAAGAAAAUGACGGUAGCUCAUGAAUAAGCACCGGCUAACUCCGUGCCAGCAGCCGCGGUAAUACGGAGGGUGCAAGCGUUACUCGGAAUCACUGGACGUAAAGGACGCGUAGGCGGGAUGUCAAGUCAGGUGUGAAAUCCUAUGGCUCAACCAUAGAACUGCACUUGAAACUGGCAACCUAGAGUAUGGGAGGGGGAGAUGGAAUUAGUGGUGUAGGGGUAAAAUCCGUAGAUAUCACUAGGAAUACCGAAAGCGAAGGCGAUCUCCUGGAACAUUACUGACGCUAAGGCGUGAAAGCGUGGGGAGCAAACAGGAUUAGAUACCCCGGUAGUC